GCAGCCUGUAAGCCAGGCUGCCUCCUCUGUCUACUGUGGAGCAGGCUGGCAGAGGAGACACAUGCUAGGUGCCUCUAGUCAGCGAUCUUGAUGACAUCUUUGUUUUGGACUUCUAAUGACAUGAUGAAGAAAGUGAAAAACAAGCCACAGAUGAGUGGGCACGUUGGGCCAAGCACUGUUCUAGACAUAAAUAUUUCAUAGAGAUUCAUCAACACAAGUUGCAAUAAAACACGAAAAAGAUUGAUGUAAUGUUUCUGUGAUAGGCAGCCUCUAAGAUGAUCUACAGAUCUCUACUUCUUGAUAUUCAUCAUCUUACUGUAGGCUGGUCCACCUAGCAUCUCUAAGCAGGAUACUGAAAAAAAGUAUCGAAUGAGCUGCCGCUUCUGAGAUUAUGUUAUGAGCUACUGUGUCUUCCAGUUAGCUCACCCCUCUCUUGCUUACUCAAUCUGUGGUAAACCAGCUGUCAUUGCUGCCUUCUGCCCUAUAUGGAGGCACAAAAAAGAAGGAAUGGAGGGAGGCACCCAGCCAAGAGCCAGUGAGGACCGGAGACCUGCCAGCAGCCACACGAGUGAGGCUGGAAGCACAUCUGCCUCCAAUUUAGUCUUGAAAUAACUGCAGCCUCAGCAGACACCUAAAUUGCAGCCUUGUGAAAGACUCUCAGCCAGGGGCUCCCAGCUAAGCUGUGUAUGAGUUUUUGAACUAUAGAGACUGUGAGAGACUACAUUUUUGCUGUUUGUCUCUAGGUUUUGGGGUAAUUAGUUAAGCAGAAAUGAACAGAGUUGCUAAUAGAAAUAAUACAGUGGUUUUACUUUGGAAGAAAUAUAUUUUAAUCUAAGAUCAAGUCCUUUCUCUGAUUUGGGUGUUAAAAUGGCUUAUAUUUUUUGAUAUUAGAGUGACAAUAUAUUCUCUCUUUCUUUAAGCCUAUAGUUAGUAAAAUAAGUAUAUUUGAGUCCCACAGAAUUUUUAAAAAUGGUUUUCCAAUUAAUAAAAUCAAAAGUUUGACAAUAAGUUUUAAAUUAUUCCCAUAUCAUUUACAUUCUUCUAUGAUCAUUAUUUUGUGUAAAAUGCUAUAAAUAUUUUUUUAUGUUUGUUUUCUCUAAAUAAACUGUGAGUUUCUAAAGUAUAAGAAUUAUGUGUUAUUCAUA
rnacentral:lncRNA from 1 species